GUCAUUUUAUUCAGUUUUGACCACUGAUUCAUGUGAUAUAUAUUUUGUUUAUAUUUAUUACACAACAUUGUCCAGUUUAUCAGACAAGUUUUGAUGUCAGUUGUAUUAUUCCAGGGUAUGGAUGGACAGCAUUAAUGUGGGCUGCCUUGGAGGACACCUGGAGAUCUGUCGUCUCCUCAUUGAUAGAGGAUGUAAGAUCGACAUCACAGAUGUAUGUUAUCUACUUAGUCUGAUCACAUUACUAUUAAUCUACACUAAAUCAUGUUGUUAAUUAGACAGGUUUAAUGAACAAAUAUUUGUAAUAAUUAUAUAAAGUGGGG
rnacentral:lncRNA from 1 species